GGGGUUUAAUGAACCGAUGUAGAAGGGCAUGUUGCGUAUUUCGUAAAUCAUUAGUCAAUUCGACUCGAAGGCACAUUGUGCCCCACAUAUAAUUAUUAGUGGCCUCCUCACGAGGAGAGUCACCACGGUGACCCUGGGUGAUUGUCCGAGAUUGAUUCGGACAACCAGCUAAUUCGAGCGGCGAAAACAUUAAAACGACCCAUUCUUAGGCCGGUGGAGGCCAAACUGGGUAGUAUACAUCUACUGCAGUCGACCAAAACUGUAAGUAAAUUUGUUACCAAGGGUAGCCAGGAGCCCACGGAACUUGUUCCGUCCUGAUUUUUUGGAGUAUCGUGGUGGCUGUGGUUUAUACCCAAAUCGCUGGUAGAGCUUGCUCAACGUGGAAUUGAAACAUAGCUUUUUAUGAGGUUUUAGACAGGCCUCACCUCCCACCAAUGAGGGAAUGUAUUUCCUCCGCCCGGCAUUCAUUCAGUUGGUACCGAAGGGACUCUAAGCAGGGACAGUCUCCUGGAGGGGCGAUAGUCCGACGCUUUGUUUCGGCUCGUUGUAUUUUUGAAUACCGUGAGAUUAAGCCAACAUGGCAGGUGCUCACGUUAAGCCCACUGACUAUUUCUGUCGCUAUCUACUAUCUAGCGAAACCACAGCCAAGGGAACGGGCUUGCAAUAAUUAAAGAAAGAAGACCCCUUUGAGCUUGACUCUAAUCUGGCAGUGUAAAUAGACAUAAGGGUGUAGAAUAAGUGGGAGAUAUUAGACUUCGGUUUGGUAUCGACAAUGAAAUACCACUAUUCUUAUUGUUUCCUUACUUACUUGAUU
rnacentral:ncRNA from 1 species